GAUGAACGCUGGCGGCGUGCCUAAUACAUGCAAGUCGAGCGAACAGACGAGGAGCUUGCUCCUCUGACGUUAGCGGCUGACGGGUGAGUAACACGUGUAUAACCUACCUAUAAGACUGGGAUAACUUCGGGAAACCGGAGCUAAUACCGGAUAAUAUAUUGAACCUCAUUGUUCAUUAGUUAAAUACGUUUUUUCUUUCACUUAUAGAUUGAUCCGCGCCGCAUUAUCUAGUUGGUAAGGUAACGGCUUACCAAGGCAACGAUGCGUAGCCGACCUGAUAGGGUGAUCGGCCAAACUGGAACUGAGACACGGAACAGAAUACUACGGGAGGCAGCAGUAGGGAAUAUUCCGCAAUGGGCGAAAGCAUGACGGAGAAAAGCCGAGUGAGUGAUGAAGGUAUUAGGAUCGUAAAAAUCUGUUAUUAGGGAAGAAAAAAAGUGUAAGUAAAUAUGCACGUAUUGACGGUACCUAAUAAGAAAGCAACGGCUAACUACGUG
rnacentral:rRNA from 1 species